rnacentral:tRNA from 1 species
GGGAAUAUGGCUCAGUGGUAGAGUGCUUGCCUAGCAUGCAUGAAGCCCUGGGUUCGAUUCCUCAGUACCA